rnacentral:rRNA from 1 species
GACGAACGCUGGCGGCGUGCUUAACACAUGCAAGUCGAGCGGUAAGGCCCUUUCGGGGGUACGACGAGCGGCGAACGGGUGAGUAACACGUGGGUGACCUGCCCUUACGCUCUGGGAGUAAGCCUGGGAAACGUAGGGUCGUAAUACCGGAUAUGACUCCAUAACGCAUGUUGUGGGGUGGAAAGCCUUGUGCGGCUAGGGA